AGAGUUUGAUCAUGGCUCAGGACGAACGCUGGCGGCGUGCUUAACACAUGCAAGUCGAACGGUGAACUCCGCUUGCGGGGGGAUCAGUGGCGAACGGGUGAGUAACACGUGGGCAACCUGCCCUCAGCUCUGGGAUAACUCCAAGAAAUUGGGGCUAAUACUGGAUAUGACCGCUGACCGCAUGGUCUGGUGGUGGAAAGAUUUAUCGGCUGGGGAUGGGCCCGCGGCCUAUCAGCUUGUUGGUGGGGUAGUGGCCUACCAAGGCGACGACGGGUAGCCGGCCUGAGAGGGUGACCGGCCACACUGGGACUGAGACACGGCCCAGACUCCUACGGGAGGCAGCAGUGGGGAAUAUUGCGCAAUGGGCGAAAGCCUGACGCAGCGACGCCGCGUGGGGGAUGACGGCCUUCGGGUUGUAAACCUCUUUCAGCAGGGACGAAGCGAAAGUGACGGUACCUGCAGAAGAAGCACCGGCCAACUACGUGCCAGCAGCCGCGGUAAUACGUAGGGUGCAAGCGUUGUCCGGAAUUAUUGGGCGUAAAGAGCUCGUAGGCGGUUUGUUGCGUCGGCUGUGAAAACCUGAGGCUCAACCUCAGGCCUGCAGUCGAUACGAGCAGACUAGAGUGUUGCAGGGGAGACUGGAAUUCCUGGUGUAGCGGUGAAAUGCGCAGAUAUCAGGAGGAACACCGGUGGCGAAGGCGGGUCUCUGGGCAACAACUGACGCUGAGGAGCGAAAGCGUGGGGAGCGAACAGGAUUAGAUACCCNNGUAGUCC
rnacentral:rRNA from 1 species